UGACCCAUGGUGUAAUCGGUAACACGACUGUUUUUGGUGCAGUUAUUCAAGGUUCGAGUCCUUGUGGGUCAA
rnacentral:tRNA from 1 species